CUUUCCUGUAGUUUGCUACCCAUGACUUGAGAGAUCUUUUCUUUGAGUCCUUCCCUCUAUCUCCUCCUCCCUUCCCUCUAAUUUCCUCUAGAAGAAAAAUUCCCAGUGGGCUGUAACCGUGCAGGACUUCUGCAAGCUGCUCUCCCAGGAGCUCAAGGCAACACUACAUCCCCUCAGGCUGAAGACCUGCAUUUGGGAAUUUCAAGUUCUAUUAACGGGUUAAAUUCAAGUGACUGAUGUCUCCCCCUCCCCCCAAAGAAGUCUAAGAUUGGAAAACAGACAGAAGCAGAUCUGUGAAAAUGAUGUUUUCGUCAUCUUCCUAGCCCCUCGGGCUUCCAGAGGAUUCUGGACGUCAGAGAAGCACACUUUUAAUGGUGUGGGAGCUUGCAUGAAACGCACAGCUGGGAUGGCUUAGAGAACCACGCGGCUGGGUCAGGGAACACAUGGACGGGGCAAACUCGUGGGAAGGAGUUGCCAGAUGUCAGUGACUGGUGACAACCCAUCUGCAGAGUUGCCAGGGAGCAGGACAAGGGGAACUAAGGACACCAAUCUUCCCCUCCCUCGGAUUUUUAUGAAACACAAAGUCAUCUGCAUGAAAGUACUUUUGACAUUCAGCUGGAAAAUUAUUUACCAUUGUGCCCAAGAGUGGUUUCUUAGUCUCUGAAUGCAGGCAUGAAACACCCCUGAGUCUGCCUCCAUCACAGCAGAACAUAUGCCACUUUUAAUCAAACUAACUGCUUCUCUGUUUAUUAGUCUAAACUCCCAAACCAACCUAAGGAUGAGAGGGAGAGAAAUAAAAAGCAAACAAAAACAAGACUAAAAAAACUU
rnacentral:lncRNA from 1 species